rnacentral:rRNA from 1 species
CAAUAGCGUAUAUUAAAGUUGUUGCAGUUAAAAAGCUCGUAGUUGGAUUUCUGGUUGAAGCGACCGGUCGGGCGUUGAUUCGUCUGCACUGGAGUCGGUUUUGGCCAUCCUCUAGGAAAGUGCGUCUGGUAUUAAGUUAUCGGGCGUAUGAUCCUGGUCUUUUACUGUGAAAAAAUUAGAGUGUUUAAAGCAGGCCUUCGCCUUGAAUACAUUAGCAUGGAAUAAUAAGAUAGGACUUUGGUCUAUUUUGUUGGUUUGCAGACCGAAGUAAUGAUUAAUAGGGAUAGUUGGGGGUAUUUAUAUUCCGAUGUCAGAGGUGAAAUUCUUAGAUUUUCGGAAGAUAAACUUAUGCGAAAGCAUUUACCAAGGAUGUUUUCAUUAAC